GGUUGGGGAUUAGCUCAGCGGGAGAGCAGAGACCUGAUCCUGGGCUCAACUCCCAGUCC
ensembl:miRNA